AGGACGAACGCUGGCGGCGUGCUUAACACAUGCAAGUCGAGCGGAAAGGCCCUUCGGGGUACUCGAGCGGCGAACGGGUGAGUAACACGUGAGCAACCUGCCCUUAGCUCUGGGAUAGCUCCGGGAAACCGGAAUUAAUACCGGAUAUGACCUAGGCCGACAUCGGCCGUGGUGGAAAGUUUUUCGGCUAGGGAUGGACUCGCGGCCUAUCAGCUAGUUGGUGGGGUAAUGGCCUACCAAGGCGACGACGGGUAGCCGGCCUGAGAGGGCGACCGGCCACACUGGGACUGAGACACGGCCCAGACUCCUACGGGAGGCAGCAGUGGGAAUCUUGCGCAAUGGGCGAAAGCCUGACGCAGCGACGCCGCGUGGGGGAUGAAGGCCUUCGGGUUGUAAACCCCGUUUCAGCAGGGACGAAGCGAAAGUGACGGUACCUGCAGAAGAAGCGCCGGCUAACUACGUGCCAGCAGCCGC
rnacentral:rRNA from 1 species